UGCAGUCGAGCGGAAGGCCCUUCGGGGUACUCGAGCGGCGAACGGGUGAGUAACACGUGAGCAACCUGCCCCUGACUCUGGGAUAAGCCCGGGAAACUGGGUCUAAUACCGGAUACGACCGCCCCCGGCAUCGGGUGGUGGUGGAAAGUUUUUCGGUUGGGGAUGGGCUCGCGGCCUAUCAGCUUGUUGGUGGGGUAGUGGCCUACCAAGGCGACGACGGGUAGCCGGCCUGAGAGGGCGACCGGCCACACUGGGACUGAGACACGGCCCAGACUCCUACGGGAGGCAGCAGUGGGGAAUAUUGCGCAAUGGGCGGAAGCCUGACGCAACGACGCCGCGUGGGGGAUGACGGCCUUCGGGUUGUAAACCUCUUUCAGCAGGGACGAAGUUGACGUGUACCUGCAGAAGAAGCGCCGGCUAACUACGUGCCAGCAGCCGCGGUAAUACGUAGGGCGCAAGCGUUGUCCGGAAUUAUUGGGCGUAAAGAGCUCGUAGGUGGCUGGUCGCGUCUGCCGUGAAAGCCCGCAGCUUAACUGCGGGUCUGCGGUGGAUACGGGCCGGCUAGAGGUAGGUAGGGGCAAGUGGAAUUCCUGGUGUAGCGGUGAAAUGCGCAGAUAUCAGGAGGAACACCGGUGGCGAAGGCGGCUUGCUGGGCCUUACCUGACGCUGAGGAGCGAAAGCGUGGGGAGCGAACAGGAUUAGAUACCCUGGUAGUCCACGCUGUAAACGUUGGGCGCUAGGUGUGGGGAUCUUCCACGAUCUCCGUGCCGGAGCUAACGCAUUA
rnacentral:rRNA from 1 species